rnacentral:rRNA from 1 species
GGGUUGUGAGGUUAAGCGACUAAGCGUACACGGUGGAUGCCCUGGCAGUCAGAGGCGAUGAAGGACGUGCUAAUCUGCGAUAAGCGCCGGUAAGGUGAUAUGAACCGUUAUAACCGGCGAUUUCCGAAUGGGGAAACCCAGUGUGAUUCGUCACACUAUCAUUAACUGAAUCCAUAGGUUAAUGAGGCGAACCGGGGGAACUGAAACAUCUAAGUACCCCGAGGAAAAGAAAUCAACCGAGAUUCCCCCAGUAGCGGCGAGCGAACGGGGAGGAGCCCAGAGCCUGAAUCAGCAUGUGUGUUAGUGGAAGCGUCUGGAAAGGCGCGCGAUACAGGGUGACAGCCCCGUACACAAAAGCGCAUGUGUUGUGAGCUCGAUGAGUAGGGCGGGACACGUGGUAUCCUGUCUGAAUAUGGGGGGACCAUCCUCCAAGGCUAAAUACUCCUGACUGACCGAUAGUGAACCAGUACCG